CGAAAGUAAACAUCAUAGAUUAACGGAAUCUAGCCAUUGUUGCCACCCAGGAUUAGUGGGAGUCUAAACGCAGGACUUCUCUUUUUGGAUCACACAGCUAUGUUACAAUGCUGCUUCCCAUCCCAUGUGUUCCCUAGUAAGGGUUAAUAAGUAUAUCGGGGUUUAUAUAAAAUACCCCUCUCUGUCUUGUUAGAGAUAUCUUUACCUGAAGCUGAAUGAAGC